GAUCAUUAUAGAGUUUUCUAAACUCCCAACCCAUGUGAACUUACCUUUUGUUGCCUCGGCAGAAGUUAUAGGUCUUCUUAUAGCUGCUGCCGGUGGACCAUUAAACUCUUGUUAUUUUAUGUAAUCUGAGCGUCUUAUUUUAAUAAGUCAAAACUUUCAACAACGGAUCUCUUGGUUCUGGCAUCGAUGAAGAACGCAGCGAAAUGCGAUAAGUAAUGUGAAUUGCAGAAUUCAGUGAAUCAUCGAAUCUUUGAACGCACAUUGCGCCCAUUAGUAUUCUAGUGGGCAUGCCUGUUCGAGCGUCAUUUCAACCCUUAAGCCUAGCUUAGUGUUGGGAAUCUACUUCUCUUAGGAGUUGUAGUUCCUGAAAUACAACGGCGGAUUUGUAGUAUCCUCUGAGCGUAGUAAUUUUUUUCUCGCUUUUGUUAGGUGCUAUAACUCCCAGCCGCUAAACCCCCAAUUUUUUGUGGUUGACCUCGGAUCAGGUAGGAAUACCCGCUGAACUUAAGCAUAUCAAUAAGCGGAGGAAAAGAAACCAACAGGGAUUGCCUUAGUAACGGCGAGUGAAGCGGCAACAGCUCAAAUUUGAAAUCUGGCCCUUGGGUCCGAAUUGUAAUUUGUAGAGGAUGAUUUUGGUGCGGUAUCUUCCGAGUUCCUUGGAACAGGACGCCUUAGAGGGUGAGAGCCCCGUACGGUUGAAUGCCUAGCCUCUGUAAAUCUCCUUCGACGAGUCGAGUAGUUUGGGAAUGCUGCUCUAAAUGGGAGGUAAAUUUCUUCUAAAGCUAAAUAUUGGCCAGAGACCGAUAGCGCACAAGUAGAGUGAUCGAAAGAUGAAAAGCACUUUGAAAAGAGGGUUAAAUAGCACGUGAAAUUGUUGAAAGGGAAGGAUUUGUGACCAGACUUUUUCUGGGCGGAUCAUCCGGGGUUCUCUCCGGUGCACUUCGCCCAGUAAAGGCCAGCAUCGGUUUUCGGCGUGGGAUAAAAGCAGUAGGAAUGUGGCUCUCUACGGGGAGUGUUAUAGCUCUAUUGUAUAAUACCGCGCUGGGGACCGAGGUUCGCGCUUCUG
rnacentral:rRNA from 1 species